GUGCUCGCUUCGGCAGCACAUAUACUAAAAUUGGAAUGAUACAGAGAGGAUUAGCAUGGCCCAUSUGCAAAGAUGACGCACAAAUCUGUGAAGCAUUCUGUAUUUUU
ensembl:snRNA U6 U6 spliceosomal RNA